rnacentral:rRNA from 1 species
CCUACGGGAGACAGCAGUGAGGAAUAUUGGUCAAUGGACGAGAGUCUGAACCAGCCAAGUAGCGUGAAGGAUGACUGCCCUAUGGGUUGUAAACUUCUUUUAUAAAGGAAUAAAACGAGGCACGUGUGCGUUUUUGCAUGUACUUUAUGAAUAAGGAUCGGCUAACUCCGUGCCAGCAGCCGCGGUAAUACGGAGGAUCCGAGCGUUAUCCGGAUUUAUUGGGUUUAAAGGGAGCGUAGAUGGGUUGUUAAGUCAGUUGUGAAAGUUUGCGGCUCAACCGUAAAAUUGCAAUUGAUACUGGCAGUCUUGAGUACAGUUGAGGUAGGCGGAAUGCGUGGUGUAGCGGUGAAAUGCUUAGAUAUCACGAAGAACCCCGAUUGCGAAGGCAGCUUACUAAACUGUGACUGACAUUGAUGCUCGAAAGUGUGGGUAUCAAACAGGAUUAGAUACCCUGGUAGUC